rnacentral:rRNA from 1 species
AUUGAACGCUGGCGGCAGGCUUAACACAUGCAAGUCGAGCGAGCGGCGGACGGGUGAGUAAUGUCUGGGAUACUGCCUGAUGGAGGGGGAUAACUAUUGGCAACGGUAGCUAAUACCGCAUACCAUCAGAUGUGCCCAGCUGGGAUUAGCUAGUAGGUGGGGUGACGGCGCACCUAGGCGACGAUCCCUAGCUGGUUUGCGAGCAUGACCAGCCACACGGGAACUGAGGCACGGUCCAGAGUCCUAGGGGAGGCAGCAGUGGGGAAGAUUGCGCAAUUGGCGCAAGCCUGAUAGAGCCAUGCCGCGUGUGUGAAGAAGGCCUGCGGGUUGUAGAGCAGUUUCAGCGGGGAGGCGUUAGCCGCAGAAGAAGCACCGGCUAACUCCGUGCCAGCAGCCGCGGUAAUAC